GUGAGUUUAUCCAAUCAUGGCUGAAAGACAAUAAUGUUGAUCAGGUGCUGCACUGGCAGUGCAUCUGUUCUCCGCUUUAAAUAGAUCCAGAGAGAGGCUUUUAAAGACUGCACAUAUUUCCCUCUGUCCCGUAGUCCAUCCUGGUGUGGCAGGAUAUUAGCUCCAUUAGCCUUGGCUCUGAGCCGAUGGAUGGAUGCGGACAGGCAGGAGAACAUGAUUCAUGCCCCAGCGAGGGGGGUCAUGGGGAAGGCCAUAAGUCACACGGGGCCUGUACAGGGCAUCUUAUCCACUCUACUCAACCAGGUGCCGAUCAAUGACAUCGAACCACUUACAGAAUCUUUUGCAGGCAAUGGGUGUCUCAAGUCUGGAACUCAUGGACAUCACCAGAGACUGGGAUUACUCCUUUGUGAUGCUUUGCCAGGCCUUUACUGCAGCUGACUUCAGUUGUUGUUUACUCUGACAGUGACACGUCUACCCCCUGGAGAGUGUUCUUCUCUUGGCAGGAUGUUGUGAAAGGGUUUUUCUUUACCAAGGAUUCUCAGAUUAUCCACCACUGUUGUCCUCCGUGGACAUCCAGGCCUUUUUCAGUUGCUGAGCUCACCUGUGGGAUCUUUUUUUCUUAGAAUGUACCAGACUGUUAAUAUGGCCACCCCUAAUGUUCCUGCUCGCUCUCUCUGAUGGAUUAGUUUUGAUUUUGAAGCCAAACAAUUGACUGUUUCACCUGCAUGGAGAAAUCCUUUGACCACAUGAUGUCGGUCGGUUCAGAGCAACAGCUUCCAAAUGUGAAUGGAAAACUUUCUUUUUUUAAAUUCCAGACCUUUACCUGCUUAAUUAAUGUAUAAAUAAUGAA